AACGAACGCUGGCGGCAUGCCUAACACAUGCAAGUCGAACGGGACGUUCGUGUCUAUUUGCGCACGGGGGCGUAACGCGGGGGAACCUGCCCGUAGGUUCCGAAUAACUCCCCGAAGGGUGUGCUAAUACCGGUUAGGCUCUUCGGGCCAAAGAUUUAUGGCCUUUGGGUGGGCGCGGGUUGGCUUAGCUGGUUGGUAGGGUAAAAGCCUACCAAGGCGACGAUGCAUAGCUGGUGUGAGAGGAUGCUCAUCCACACUGGGACUGAGACACGGCCCAGACUCGUACGGGAGGCAGCAGUGGGGAAUAUUAGAGGCUGGGGGAAAGCCUGAUAAAGCAAUGCCGCGUGAGUGGUGCAGGCGUUAGGGUUCUAAAGCUGUUUUACACGGGAUGAGAAUGACAGUACCGGGAGAAUAAGCUCCGGCUAACUACGUG
rnacentral:rRNA from 1 species